UGGGCUUGACAUGCAGAGGAAUGCCCUAGAAACAGGGCCGGCCGAAAGGACUUCUGCAC
rnacentral:rRNA from 1 species